ACUGAUGAUACAUUGUUAUCUACUGACUUCUGGUAUCAAGCUCCAUGUUAUUACUCUCAUCUGUGAACAAAUGUUACCAGGGGUUAGCUGAAAAGCCAAGAUCAAUUUACAGGACAGCAACACUAGGACUGGCAGAAUGUACAGUACAGCAGAGGAUAUGGAUGUAGUUGUUAAGGAGAAAGGAUCAAAUUCUCCUCUACAGAAGAGAUGACCAGGAACCUUUACUUCCUCCAGUGCCCAUCAGUCACAUCUUCUGCUUAGUUGGUUACAGUCUUUUUACCACAGGUCCUUC